rnacentral:rRNA from 1 species
AUUGAACGCUGGCGGCAGGCCUAACACAUGCAAGUCGAACGAGUGGCGGACGGGUGAGUAAUGUCUGGGAAACUGCACGAUGGAGGGGGAUCACUACUGGCAACGGUAGCUAAUACCUCAUACCAUCGGAUUUGCCCAGAUGGUCUUAGCUAGUAGGUGGGGUAACGGCUCACCUAGGCGACGAUCCCUCGCUGGUCUGAGAGGAUUACCAGCCACACUGUAACUGAGACACGGUCCAGACUCCUAAGGGGGGCACAAGUGGGGAAUAUUGCACAAUGGGCGCAAGCCUGAUGCAGCCAUGACGCGUGUAUGAAGAAGGCCUGCGGGUGGUAAAGUACUUUCAGCGAGGAGGCGUUACUCGCAGAAGAAGCACCGGCUAACUCCGUGCCAGCAGCCGCGGUAAUAC